rnacentral:rRNA from 1 species
UACGGGGUAGGGCAGCUGUUGCGAUUACUGGGCGUAAAGAGCGUGUAGGCGGCCAAGCAGGUCCGUUGUGAAAACUGGAGGCUUAACCUCCAGACGUCGACGGAAACCGCGUGGCUAGAGUCCGGAAGAGGAGAGUGGAAUUCCUGGUGUAGCGGUGAAAUGCGCAGAUAUCAGGAAGAACACCAAUGGCGAAGGCAGCUCUCUGGGACGGUACUGACGCUGAGACGCGAAAGCGUGGGGAGCGAACAGG